rnacentral:rRNA from 1 species
UAGAUACCCUAUUAUUUUAAAUGUAAUUUUUUAUCCUAAUGAUUAAUAGCUAUGUUCUUUAAAGUUAAAUAUUUUGGCGGUAUUUUAGUCUUUUCAGAGGAACCUGUCCUAUAAUUGAUAAUCCACGAUUUAGAAUACUUAAAUUAGAAAUUUAUAUAUCAUCGUUAUUGAAUAUUUUAAAAGAAAAAAAUAUUUUAAAGUUAAAAUUUUAAAGUAAAUCAGAUCAAGGUGUAGUUUAUAUUUAAGUGGAGAUGGGUUACAAUAAAAUUAAAAGUGGAAAGAGUAUAUGAAUAUAUGAAUGAAAUUGGAUUUGAAAGUAAUUAAAUUUAA